AUUGAACGCUGGCGGCAUGCCUUACACAUGCAAGUCGAACGGUAACAGGUCUUCGGAUGCUGACGAGUGGCGAACGGGUGAGUAAUACAUCGGAACGUGCCCGAUCGUGGGGGAUAACGAGGCGAAAGCUUUGCUAAUACCGCAUACGAUCUACGGAUGAAGGCGGGGGAUCUUCGGACCUCGCGCGGACGGAGCGGCCGAUGGCAGAUUAGGUAGUUGGUGGGAUAAAAGCUUACCAAGCCGACGAUCUGUAGCUGGUCUGAGAGGAUGAUCAGCCACACUGGGACUGAGACACGGCCCAGACUCCUACGGGAGGCAGCAGUGGGGAAUUUUGGACAAUGGGCGAAAGCCUGAUCCAGCCAUGCCGCGUGCAGGAUGAAGGCCUUCGGGUUGUAAACUGCUUUUGUACGGAACGAAAAGCCUCUUUCUAAUAAAGAGGGGUCAUGACGGUACCGUAAGAAUAAGCACCGGCUAACUACGU
rnacentral:rRNA from 1 species